rnacentral:snRNA from 1 species
GGGCUCACUCCGGCAGUACAUACGCUGAACAGGAACGAUACGGAGAUUAGCGUGCCCCUGCACAAGGAUGACACGCACAUUCGUAAAGAGUUCCAUAUAUGG